CCUACGGGUGGCUGCAGUGGGGAAUAUUGGGCAAUGGGCGCAAGCCUGACCCAGCAACGCCGCGUGAAGGAAGAAGGCUUUCGGGUUGUAAACUUCUUUUCUCAGGGACGAAGAAAGUGACGGUACCGGAGGAAUAAGCAACGGCUAACUCCGUGCCAGCAGCCGCGGUAAGACGGAGGUGGCAAGCGUUAGCCGGAUUUAUUGGGUGUAAAGGGCGUGUAGGCGGGAGCACAAGGCAGAUGGGAAAACUCAGGGCUCAACCCUGAGCCUGCAUUUGAAACGGGGUUUCUUGAGUGCUGGAGAGGCAAUCGGACUUCCGUGUGUAGCGGUGAAAUGCGUCGAUAUCCGGAGGAACACCAGUGGCGAAGGCGGUUUGCUGGACAGUAACUGACGCUGAGGCGC
rnacentral:rRNA from 1 species